rnacentral:lncRNA from 1 species
CGCAACUGGUCCACAUUCUCACCUGGGGCAAGUAGCCAUAACCUUAGUUGGAGAUCAGAAAGUGAGUCACAUCAUGUACAGUUGAACAUCUGUAUUUCCAAAGACCCAGUAACUGCAUUCCCGGGCAACAGCCACAAAAAUUGCACACAUACACCAAGAGACACGUGCAAGAAUGGCAGUAGAAACCUUAUUCACAGUAGCGCCAAAUUGAAAACAUCCAAAUGCCGCUGGCAAGAGCUGUAGAAAUGUGGAAUGAUGAUAUAGUGGUAGAAAAUGAAGGAAAAAUAGCAAUUCGGCUGGAUCACGGUGAUGUAAUACUGAGUGAAACAAAUGCAAGUCCCAGAAGAGUACAGGUGGAAUGGUAUCCUUUUUGUGAAGUUCAAAUACAACUAGAACUACUGUAUUUAGGCAUAAUAUUGGGUUGAAUCACACGGAAUUGCUGUUUUUUUUUUAACCUAUUUUGACCUAUAAAAGUGGCGAAUUCAUAAGGUUAAGCCUAUUUUAUGUGUGAAAAAAACUAUUUUAUAAAAAAAGCAGGAAGAGGAGUCCCCUUCGUGGCUCAGUGGUUAAAGAAACCAACUAGGAUCCAUGAGGAUGUAGGUUCAAUCCCUGGCCUCGCUCAGUGGGUUAAGGAUCCUGUGUUGCUGUGGCUGUGGUGUAGGCUGGCAGCUGCAGCUCCGAUUAGACCCCUAGCCUGGAAACUUCCAUAUGCUGCCACAGGUGCGGCUCUAAAAAAAAAAAAAGCAAGGUGAGUUCUCACUAUGGCACAGUGGGUUACAGAUUUGAGUUCAGUGGCUCAGGUCACUGCAGAGAGGUGGGUUGGAUCUCUGGUCCUAUGCAAUGGGUUAAAAGAUCAGGCAUUCCUACAGCCGUGGCUCAGAUUCAAUUCCUGGCCCAGGAAUGUCCAUAUACCUUGGGUGAAACCAUUAAAAAAAAAAAAAGCAAGCAAGACAAUGAGGAGCACAGAAUCCAGAAUAGUGAUUACCUGGCGUGGGGUAGUGGAGGGGUGAGGGAAGAUGGGGAACCCAUAAGUAGAUUUAAUUUUUAGUGAUGUUCUGGUUCUUUGGGUUGGAAGGUGGAUUGAGGGACUUUCAUUUUUUCAUUCAUGUAUGAAUGAAUGAAAAAAUAGAAAUUUAUUCUGUAACUAAUUAGGGGCACUGCCACUUGCAGAGUUUUCAAGGUAGUAAAAUGUAAGAGUCUAGAAUCUUAUUUAGUUUUUUUUUUUUUUUUUUUCUGGUCAUGCUCCCAGUAUGUGGAAGUUACUGGGCCAGGGACUGAACAUCAGCUAAAACAGUAACCCAACCCAUAGCAGUGACAACACCGAGUCCUUAACCUGCUGGGCCAUCAGGGAACUCCAGAAUCUUAUUUAGUUUUUUCUGCAUUCAUUUAUUCAUUCUUCUUUUUUUUUUUUUUUCUUUUUAGGGCCGCACCUACUGUAUGUGGAAGUGCCCAGGCUAGGGGUCCAGUCGGAGCUACAGCUGCCGGCCUAUGCCACAGCCACAGAAACAUCAGAUCCGAGCCACGUUUGUGACCUACACCACAGCUCACAGCAAUGCUGGAUCCUUAACCCACUGAGCAAGGCCAGGGAUCCAACCUGCAACCUCAUGGUUCCUAGUCAGAUUCGUUUCUGCUGCGCCAUGACAGGAACUCCCAUUUAUUCAUUCUUUAAAAAAAAAUAAGGGCAUAAUUUUUUUCUUUUUCAGGUGGCACGUGGAAGUUCCCAGGCCAGGGGUUGAAUCUGAGCCAGAGCUGCGACUUAUGCCACAGCUGCAGCCAUGCUGGAUCCUUAACCCAUGUGCUGAGCCUGGGAUUGAACCAGUACCUCCACAGAGACAAGCCAGAUCAUUAACCCUCUGCACCGCAAUAGGAACUCCCAAGGCAUAAUUUACAUACAGUAAAAUUCACCUUUUUAGUGUACGGUUCUGAGUUUUAAAAAUGCAUACACUUGCAUAACCAUCGCCACAAUCAAAAUAUAGAUCAAUUCCAUCGCCCCCUCGAUUCCCCCCAAACCCUCCUGCAGUCAGUCAGUCCUUCCUUUCAACCCCAGCCCUUGGCAACUACUGAUCUUUUUUUCUGUCUCUAUAGUUUUGCUUCUUCCAGAACAUGUUUAGUAAAAGUGCCCACAAAAUUCUAGUUCUGUGGUAUUUAAAAGGCUAGGGAUUCGUAAGUAGGAACAUGAUGACUAAAGCAGCUCAGAACUACUUUCUUUGCCUAGAAAGAGAGAAAAAAAAAAAAAAAAGAAAAAGAAAAGGAAAAGGGUAGGACAAUAUGAUCUCUGAACCUCACCCUCUGAUGUGCGAGGGGACCUUUCUCUGGAUCCCCAGCCCUGCCUGUCACCAGCUGUGUAGCUCUAGAGAAGCUACUUCCCUUCUCUUCAUCUGUAAAAUGGGAUGAUAAUAUUUCCCCCUCUGGAGUAUUUUGUGGAGUACAAGGUAGCUGUUAUUCUAAUCGGAGCCACACUGAAACCUUUCUCCUUCUUGGCCCUUCUCCCUCCCACAGGCAAACACACUGGCUCUGUUCCUAAGGGCCCAUCCCCCUGCCACAGUGCAUAUUGAAAAAACUUUGCCCAAAACUGAUAACACUGUAGGUAUAUUUUUGGGUUUUUCUCCGUUUUUUGGCCACAUCCACGGCAUAUGGAAGUUCCCAAGGAUUGAACCAGCAACACCACAGAGACAAGACAGAGCCUUAACCUGCUGCGCCACAGCAGGAACUCCCAACAUUGUAGAUAUAUUGAAGACUUGGAAACAGAGAUUCAAACAGGUACUUAAAUGCCAAGGUUUCAUUGCAGUACUAGUCACAGGAGCCAAAAGGUGGAGACAACUCAAGUGCCCAUCAACAGAUGAGCAGAUAAGCAAAAUAUGGUAUAUACACAAUGGAGUGUUUUUAGCCUUAAAAAGAAUGACGUUCUGAUACAUACUAAAACAUAGAUAAACCUUGAAGACAAUAUGCUAAGUAAAAUAAGCACACAGAAGCCACAGAAGAACAAAUACUGUGAUUCCAUAUAUAUUAAAUAUUCAGGACAAAUUCAUAAAGACAGAGACUGGAGGUAACCAGGGGCUGGAGGGAGGGAGGAAUGGGCAGUUAUUGCUUCAUGGGUACAGAGUUUCUAUUUGGGAUGAUGAAAAUUUUGGGGAAUAGAUAAUGGUAAUGGUUGCACAACAGUGUGAAGGUAAUUAAUGUCACUGAAUAGUACACUUAAAAAUGGGCAAAAUAGGAGUUCCCGUUGUGGUGCAGCAGGUAAAGAACUUGACUAGUAUCCAUAAGGAUUCAGGUUCAAUCCCUGGCCUUGCCCAGUGGGUUAAGGAUCUGGUAUUGCUGUGAGCUGUGGUGUAGGUGGCAGACUCAGCUCACCCCGGAUCUGGUGUUGCUGUAGCUGUGAUAUAGGCCAGGAGCUACAGCUCCAAUUUGACCUCUAGCCUGGGAAUUUCCAUAGCCUGCAGGUGUGGCCCUAAAAAGGCAAAAAAUAAAUCAAUAAAUAAAUAAAUAAAAAGAUUUUUUUGUCUUUUCAGGGCCACACCCAAGGCAUAUGGAGGUUCCCAGGCCAGGUGUUGAAUUGGAGCUGCAGCUACCAGCCUACACCACAGCUCAUGGCAACGCCAGAUCCUUAACCCAUUGAAUGAGGGCAGAGAUCGAACCUGCGUCCUCAUGGACACUAGUCGGAUUCAUUUCCACUGAGCCAUGAUGGGAACUCCACACAUUUUCUGUAUUUAUGUGUUUUACCACAAUUAAAAAGGCCUCCAGUGAUGACAUUCUUUGACAACAAAACAAGGCAACAAAGGAAAGAAAAGUUUUUUGGAGUGAAAUUUCCAGGUAAUCACCCACCUCUCCUGUGUACCUCUCUUGACAGUUUACAAAGCGAACAUUUUAAGUUUUAUCCUUGCAGCACCCUAGAGGUAGCCAUUGUCAUAUUGAUUUUACAGAUAGAGAAACUGAGUCACAUCAAGGUUCCCAAGACUACACUGUGCCUGAGAAGUGCAGCUGAGUGGGAACCCAGUCCUUCUUGCUCCCAGUAGCGUGCUCCUUAUUGUGCCUUCCUCCUGGCCCUUCAAGCUAUGUUUGGGUUUCUUUCUAAACAGAAAGCCCUGCCUUUCUAAUCAUCUAAGCCCAGCUUUGCCGCUUGGCCACAACUGGGGACCUUUGUCCUGAUCCUCUGUUUCUACCACUGCUGUUCCGUUCUGUUCAGCGUUUACUUUUCUGGUCUACUACCCAGGCUGCCAUGCAGGCUUCUGGACUGGUGACAGAUGGAGGGGGAGAGGGAAGUGUCGAGGAUGGCUGGGGCCCUGGCUUGUGAUACUGGAUGGAUGGAGAUGACUGGGGAGGGAAAGUUUGGGGUGUAAAAGUGUAAACUUGGUGUUAGACCUGUUGAAUUUAAGGAUUUGUGAGGUAGCCAAGAAAUAUGAUUGCAUACGCGGAUGACAUUCAGAGUGACAUUUAUUUGUGUAUUUAUUUAUGUAUGUUCUUAUGGACGUAUAAGAUUUACAAUGUUGUGCCAAUUUCUGUUGUAAAGCAAAGUGUCUCAGUUAUACGUAUAUACCCCAGGAGAUUAGACAGCGUUCCCUAGGACCUUGUUGUUUAUAAAUUCUAACGUAAUUGUUUCCAUCCAAUGACCCCAAACUCCUAGUCCUCCCAUAUCUCCCCCCUCCCCUUUAGCAGACACAAUCCUGUUUCUGUUUUGUAGGCAGGUUCAUUGAUACCUUAUUUUAUUUUAUUUAUUUAUUUUUGUCUUUCUGUCUUUUCUAGUGCCGCAUGUGGCAUGUGGACGUUCCCAGGAUAGGGGUCUAAUGGAGCUGUAGCCACCGGCCUACGCCAGACCCAUAGCAAUGCCAGGUCCAAGCCGAGUCUGUGACCUACACCACAGCUCAUGACAGCAAUGCCAGAUCCUUAACCCACGAGCAAGGCCAGGGAUCGAACCCUCAACCUCAUGGUUCCUGGCUGGAUUCGUUAACCACUGAGCCAUGAUGGGAACUCCUAUUCCAUAUUUUAGAUUCCACAUAUAAGUGAUAUUGUAUGGUAUUUGUCUUUGUCUCUUUUUUUUUAAGGUUUGCACCCAUUGCAUAUGGAGGUUCCCAGGCUAGGGGUUGAACUGGAGCUGUAGCCACUAGCUUAUGCCACAGCCACAGCAACGCGGGAUCUAAGCCGCAUCUGCAACCUACACCACAGCUCAGGGCUAUGCCCUUAACCCACUGAGCGAGGCCAGGGAUCAAACCUGUGUCCCCAUGGAUACCAGUCAGAUUUGUUUCCGCUGAGCCACGACUGGAACUCCUGUCUUUCUCUUUCUGACUUACUUCACUUAGUAUGAUAAAUUCUAGUUGCACAGAAUGAUAUUUAGAAGCUGUAAGGCCUGCAGUUUGGGGCGUGGGGAGAAGCAGUGGGUCAGGGGAGUGUGGGCGGUAAAGCCUGGAUCCUUGGUUAUCUAGCAUCUGGUGUGCAUCUCCCAUAGGGGCACUAGGGG